rnacentral:rRNA from 1 species
UCGCCUGUUUAUCAAAAACAUGUCCUAUUGAGGGUAAUUUUAGGUCUAACCUGCCAGUUGAAUAGUUUUUAAAAGGCCGCAGUAUUCUAACUGUGCAAAGGUAGCAUAAUCAUUAGUUUUUUAAUUAAAGGCUUGUAUGAAUGGUUGGACGAGGUAAUAACUGUCUUAUAUAUAUGAUAUAAAAAUUUACUUUUUGGUAAAAAUGCCAAAAUUUUUUUAAAAGACGAGAAGACCCUAUAGAUCUUUAUAAUUUAUUAUUGUUAUUUUUUUUAUAGAAUAAAUUUAUAUAAGUAUAAUAAUAUUUAAUAUUUUGUUGGGGUGACAUUAAUAUUUAAUUAACUUUUAAGGUUUGUUAUUACAUUGAUUUAUGAAUAGAUUAUGAUCCUUUAAAUAAAGAUUAAUAAAUUAAGUUACCUUAGGGAUAACAGCGUAAUUUUUUUGAGGAGUUCAUAUCUAUAAAAAAGAUUGCGACCUCGAUGUUGGAUUAAGAUAUACUAGUGGGUGCAGAAGUUCACAUUUGGAAGUCUGCUCGACUUUUAAUUUCUUACAUGAUCUGAGUUCAAACCGGAGAAUCUGAGUUCAAACCGGAGA